rnacentral:rRNA from 1 species
CCUACGGGAGGCUGCAGUGGGGAAUAUUGCACAAUGGGGGAAACCCUGAUGCAGCGACGCCGCGUGAGUGAAGAAGUAUUUCGGUAUGGAAAGCUCUAUCAGCAGGAACGAGACAAGACGGUACCUGACUAAGAAGCCCCGGCUAACUACGUGCCAGCAGCCGCGGUAAUACGUAGGGGGCAAGCGUUAUCCGGAAUCACUGGGUGUAAAGGGAGCGUAGACGGCUGAGCAAGCCUGAAGUGAAAGGCGGGGGCCCAACCCCCGGACUGCUUUGGGAACUGUACGGCUGGAGUGCAGGAGAGGUAAGUGGAAUUCGUAGUGUAGCGGUGAAAUGCGUAGAUAUUAGGAGGAACACCAGUGGCGAAGGCGGCUUACUGGACUGUAACUGACGUUGAGGCUCGAAAGCGUGGGGAGCAAACAGGAUUAGAUACCCUAGUAGUC